GACGAACGCUGGCGGCGUGCUUAACACAUGCAAGUCGAACGGAAAGGCCUUUUCGGCGGUACUCGAGUGGCGAACGGGUGCGUAACACGUGGGUGAUCUGCCCUGCACUCUGGGAUAAGCCUGGGAAACUGGGUCUAAUACCGGAUAGGACCGCACUUUAGAGUGUGUGGGGGAAAGUUUUUUCGGUGUAGGAUGAGCCCGCGGCCUAUCAGCUUGUUGGUGGGGUAAUGGCCUACCAAGGCGGCGACGGGUAGCCGGACUGAGAGGUUGGUCGGCCACACUGGGACUGAGAUACGGCCCAGACUCCUACGGGAGGCAGCAGUGGGGAAUAUUGCACAAUGGGCGCAAGCCUGAUGCAGCGACGCCGCGUGGGGGAUGACGGCCUUCGGGUUGUAAACUCCUUUCGCCAGGGACGAAGCGUUUUGUGACGGUACCUGGAGAAGAAGCACCGGCUAACUACGUG
rnacentral:rRNA from 1 species